UUAUAUAUAUAUUUUUGUUUUUUAAUUGGGGUAGCCCCCAAAAUAUUGGGACAUAUAAAAAAGACAACUCUGUUCCGCAGAGUAGCUGUUGACAUAAUAGUUGCACAGGCACUUUGUUGACUCUAGAGAACCUCGGCCAAUCGCACAUCUCCGUGGUGGCGACUCUGCAUGUGGAUGUCAUCCAUAGCAACUUUUGAUGCCAGUUUCUGCGCCUACCAUGGUGACCACGGGUAACGGGGAAUCAGGGUUCCAUUCUGUACAGGGACCCUGAGAAAUGGCUACCACAUGCAAGGAAGGCAGCAGGCGCACAAAUGACCCACUCCCGACACAGGAAGGUAGUGACGA
rnacentral:rRNA from 1 species